GGGAUUUUGCGCAUGGGGGAACCCCUGNCGCANCAACGCCGCGUGGAGGAUGAAGUCCUUUGGGACGUAAACUCCUUUCGACCGGGACGAUUAUGACGGUACCGGUGGAAGAAGCCCCGGCUAACUUCGUGCCAGCAGCCGCGGUAAUACGAGGGGGGCGAGCGUUGUUCGGAAUUAUUGGGCGUAAAGGGCGCGUAGGCGGUGCGGUAAGUCACCUGUGAAAUCUCCGGGCUCAACUCGGAGCCUGCAGGCGAAACUGCCGUGCUGGAGUAUGGGAGAGGUGCGUGGAAUUCCCGGUGUAGCNGGUGAAAUGCGUAGAUAUCGGGAGGAACACCUGUGGCGAAAGCGGCGCACUGGACCAUAACUGACGCUGAGGCGCGAAAGCUAGGGGAGCAAACGGGAUUAGAUACCCUGGUAGUCCUAGCCCUAAACCAUGGAUGCUUGGUGUGGUGGGUACCCAAUCCCACUGUGCCGAAGCUAACGCGAUAAGCAUCCCGCCUGGGGAGUACGGUCGCAAGGCUGAAACUCAAAAAAAUUGACGGA
rnacentral:rRNA from 1 species